rnacentral:lncRNA from 1 species
AGGCGCAGCACAGGUACGUGGGCGGGCGGAUCGUGGUGGCUGCGCUUGCGAGGACCCUGAGGUAGAUUGGGUGGUUUCAACAGGAACGCAUCCACUGUCUGAGAGUUUAAACUUGAUUUUGUGAGGGGACGAACAGCGUGACAAUUAAAAGAAGAUCUGGGAAUCAAAAGCUUCCUGAGGCCUUCACCAGAAGCAGAUGCUGGUGCCGUGCUUCUACAGCCUGCAGAACUGAAGGACUUUACAGCUUCUCUUUCGCAUAUCCAAAUUGCCAGCAUCACCGCUCUUGCACUCCAAGCCAUUAUUAAGUAAAGUAAAGAACACAAACACUGUGAUACUGCUACACUUGAUCUGAUAACCAAGAAGUCUACUAAGUGACUAACAGAGCAACUGGGAACCUAAUUCUGACCAAAAAGGAGGAAUUGUUUGGCUAAUUGGAAGUGACAGAAACCUUGGGAGAAAGCAACCGCAUACCAAGGAUAAUUAUAAGAAGAAGAGAAGACAUGGAGAAGAGGAGGGAGUAGUUGUGACCGUGGAGGCAGAGAAUGGAGUAAUGUGAUCAUAAAUCAAGGAAUGCUGACAGCCACUAAAGCUGGAGAAGGCCAAGGACAGAUAUUCAAUCCUCCCGUAGAAGUACAGCCCUGCUAAUGCAUUGAUUUUGGACUUCUGGCCUCAGAACUGUAAGAGAAUAAAUUUCUAUUGUUUUAAGCCUUCA